AAAAUAUAUAUAUAUACACAUAUAAACAAUCAUCAUUACCUUCAUCUACAUAAUACAUGAUCCUUAACCCAAUGCAUUUGAAUGAUGUGUACUUCACAUCAUGAUUGAACUGGUUGUGGUUCCAGAUGAUGUGCUAUCCAUAUCAUGGUUGACUUGGCCACGGAUAUGGAGCAUGGAUCGUUUACAUCAUGUUACUAUGAUGCAUGUAUUACAUUCUAUCCUGUUCUUUAUAAGGACCUUCAUGCCCACAAGUCACAUGCCCUUAGGCAUUGCCUGAGGAAGAAUGGGAUAUGUUGGCUAAUAUUUCCUGUAUACAGGGCAAUAUCUCGUACAUAAAUUAUUUGCUUGUUAUCCCAGGGAGAUAUCAUGCUGUAACCCUGCAAGCAACUUAGGUUAAUCUUUACUGUAUGGAAGCACUAAGCUUGGGCAGACAAAUGGUAACACCACAAAUAAAGAAAAAAUAUCACAAAGUACCACUUAAUUUAAAGCCUAAGGGGUGGGGAGGGGAGACAACGCCCCAUCAACCCUGGGCAGUGCCUAAAGGGCACACUCAGUCACAGCAACUUAUUGAAUAGAUUUUGUGGCAUGAAGUUGGGACUUAGUCUCUGGUGAGUGCAUCCAUACUGUAAAGAUGUAUCAUAACCUAUACUAGUUUAUUUAAUACAUAUUGUAUUUGACACACGAGUAUUAUUCUUAAAUCAGGAAAGGUUUCCCAGCUUUUAUACUAUUAUUAAUAAAUAAACAAAUAAAGUAUAAGAAUAAGAAUUUAUAAACAAAUUAACCUUUUUUUUCAAUGCCUCUGUGACAGGCCCCUAACAGUCUUUAUCAAUAAUUUAAUUUGUCUGCCUAAUUAUACAUACCAUGCCUGAAUCUGCUGGCAAGGCACACCUGUAAAGGCAGGGGGGAGGACCCCUCUGAAACCCCUUCAUCUUGGCUCCUGACAAUACAUAUUGUAACAAUAUUCGUUACAAAUGGAAACCUCUAAGUCUGGAGCCAUAUUUCAUAAUAUUAAAAGAAACUAGCAUAACAAAAAGAAUUCUACACAUGCAUUAAAAUUCACUAUCAGUCAAUACCUGAACUAUCAACGUGUACACAAACAUGCUUUAUAAUUACUUCAAUGAACUGGGAAAAGUUAAGGUAAGCAUAGAUUUGUUUAAUACCCUAAUCACAACAUGUAGUGUCUAAUCAUAUCAUUAAAACAAAUCUUCAAAACGAAUGACAUCCAAUCACAUCCUGCUCCAAGUUGUGCAUUACACAGUUCUCUGCUUGUUUGGCCCUGGCUGUGGUCAUGGAGGUGAUGCAGCCACACAAAGGAAAGCUUAAAGCUUUCUUCUUUAGCCACACUUCCAUUUGAGCUACAGCCAUGAGUCUCUGGAGGAUGCAUCAUUCUUGGUAACAAAUACCCCAGUCAAAAUGCAUUGUUAAAUACGGACCAGUUCACCCUUCAUCUAUCAAAAUAUCCAAAAUAAGCAGACGCCAAAGCAUCACUUGCAUCCUGGAUUCCCAAAUAAACAGGCAAUCCUAGGCGGAAGAGGCCCGUGGGCAGCUCGACCAGACCUGUCGUGAGGAGCUAAAGAUGAGCAAAGUGCCUGGUGGCUCGCCCUGAGAGGCAAGCUACCAGAGCGAAGGGUGGAUGCAGCCAUGCGCCCCGUCGGCAUUAGCCACCCCGAUGUUAUGAUAUAAUAAAUCAUACUAGCGUUAAA